UACGGAGGAUGCAAGCGUUAUCCGGAUUCAUUGGGUUUAAAGGGUGCGCAGGUGGGCUUGUAAGUCAGUGGUGAAAUACUGCCGCUUAACGGUAGAAUUGCCACUGAUACUGUGAGUCUUGAGUAUGGUUGAGGGAGGUGGAAUGUACAGUGUAGCGGUGAAAUGCAAAGAUAUUGCACAGAACUCCGAUUGCGAAGGCAGCUUACUAAGCCACUACUGACGCUGAGGCACGAAAGCGUGGGUAGCGAACAGGAUUAGAUACCGUGGUAGUCCACGCCGUAACGAUGUUCACUCGCUGUUUGCGAUACACAGCAAGCGGCUGAGCGAAAGCAUUAAGUGAACCACCUGGGGAGUACGAUCGCAAGGUUGAA
rnacentral:rRNA from 1 species